UAUCUAGCUUCUUUCAAAAUCUUAAAAUAAGAAACAAAAAUACAAAAAAUGACAUAGAAAUUCCUAACAAGUCUUGAAUCUUACCACCUAAAAACUCCAAUGAUCCUCUUCUUACAAAUUUUCUUAGAUCUCCUUCUUUAAAACUCUAUUUCUUACAUGCUAUAGCUUUUUGGAAAGCUAACAAUGUAAUAUAACUUCUUUUGAAAUUUCAAAAUAAAAAGAUGUAAAAUCUAUAAGUAGCCUUUGAAA
rnacentral:lncRNA from 1 species